rnacentral:sRNA from 1 species
UCUGCCCCUCCUCCUUCUCCUCCUCCUUCUCCCCGUGUCUCAGCUGCGGCUAAAACCUGGAGUCUUAGGGAAAAGGGAAAAAAAAAAUUCUGGUAGCGGUGGAGCUGUCAAACCGGGCAUGCUCAGUA